UACGUAGGGGGCAAGCGUUGUCCGGAAUCAUUGGGCGUAAAGAGCGUGUAGGCGGCCCGGUAAGUCCGCUGUGAAAGUCCAGGGCUCAACCCUGGGAUGCCGGUGGAUACUGUCGGGCUCGAGUCCGGAAGAGGAGUGUGGAAUUCCUGGUGUAGCGGUGAAAUGCGCAGAUAUCAGGAGGAACACCAAUGGCGAAGGCAGCACUCUGGGACGUGACUGACGCUGAGACGCCAAAGCGUGGGGAGCAAACAGG
rnacentral:rRNA from 1 species